rnacentral:rRNA from 1 species
UACGGGGGGGGUAAGCGUUGUUCGGAAUUACUGGGCGUAAAGGGCUCGUAGGCGGCCAACUAAGUCAGACGUGAAAUCCCUCAGCUUAACUGGGGAACUGCGUCUGAUACUGGAUGGCUUGGAUUCGGGAGAGGAAUGCGGAAUUCCAGGUGUAGCGGUGAAAUGCGUAGAUAUCUGGAGGAACACCGGUGGCGAAGGCGGCAUCCUGGACCGACACUGACGCUGAGGCACGAAAGCGUGGGGAGCAAACAGG